UAAGAAAUUUAGGAUCACAUUAAACCAAGAGCCUUCAAAGCUCAAAAUAUGGGUGAAACUCCCAUAAUUUC
rnacentral:tRNA from 1 species